UACGUAGGGGGCAAGCGUUGUUCGGAAUUACUGGGCGUAAAGCGCGUGUAGGCGGUCUGGCAAGUCAGAUGUGAAAUCCCCAGGCUUAACCUGGGAACUGCAUCCGAUACUGGAUGGCUUGAAUCCGGGAGAGGGAUGCAGAAUUCCAGGUGUAGCGGUGAAAUGCGUAGAUAUCUGGAGGAAUACCGGUGGCGAAGGCGGCAUCCUGGACCGGCAUUGACGCUGAGUGAGCGAAAGCCAGGGGAGCAAACGGG
rnacentral:rRNA from 1 species